rnacentral:rRNA from 1 species
AUGAGCGACCCCAAGUACGCCUACCCCUACCCCGCGCAAGGUUACUACCAGGGAGGGCCAUACCAGGGGCCGCCGGUGAUGGCGCCGCCGCAGUACGCCGCGCCGCCGCCGCGCCCCCAGCCCAGCUUCCUCGAAGGCUGUUUGGCCGCGCUUUGCUGCUGCUGCCUGAUCGACGAGUGCUGCUGCGACCCCUCCAUCAUCUUCGUCGGCUAG